UGGGGAAUCUUAGACAAUGGGGGAAACCCUGAUCUAGCCAUGCCGCGUGAGCGAUGAAGGCCUUAGGGUUGUAAAGCUCUUUCAGCUGGGAAGAUAAUGACGGUACCAGCAGAAGAAGCCCCGGCUAACUCCGUGCCAGCAGCCGCGGUAAUACGGAGGGGGCUAGCGUUGUUCGGAAUUACUGGGCGUAAAGCGCACGUAGGCGGAUUAGUCAGUCAGAGGUGAAAAUCCCAGGGCUCAACCCUGGAACUGCCUUUGAUACUGCUAGUCUUGAGGUCGAGAGAGGUGAGUGGAAUUCCGAGUGUAGAGGUGAAAUUCGUAGAUAUUCGGAGGAACACCAGUGGCGAAGGCGGCUCACUGGCUCGAUACUGACGCUGAGGUGCGAAAGCGUGGGGAGCAAAACAGGAUUAGAUACCCUGGUAGUCCACGCCGUAAAACGAUGAAUGCCAGUCGUCGGGUUGCAUGCAAUUCGGUGACACACCUAACGGAUUAAGCAUUCCGCCUGGGGAGUACGGUCGCAAGAUUAAAAACUCAAAGGAAUUGACGGGGUCAUAGCUGUUUCCUG
rnacentral:rRNA from 1 species